AAAACAGUAAGACUUGGGCAACAAUUGGUGCUGCUGCUAACCUUGUUUUUGCGUAUAACACAGGAAUGCUUCCCGAGAUACAGGCCACUGUGAGAGAACCAGUUGUCGAUAACAUGAUAAAAGCCCUUAACUUUCAGUUCACUUUAGGAGUUAUUCCAAUGCAUGCUGUUACGUACAUUGGAUAUUGGGCUUAUGGAUCAAGUGCAUCUUCCUAUUUGCUGAACAAUGUUAGUGGCCCAAUUUGGUUGAAGGGAAUGGCUAACAUUGCUGCUUUCUUGCAAUCUAUCAUCGCGUUGCAUAUAUUUGCGAGUCCG
rnacentral:misc_RNA from 1 species